GACUUUGAUUAUGGCUCGGGAUGAACGCUAGCUACAGGCUUAACACAUGCAAGUCGAGGGGCAGCGGGAUUGAAGCUUGCUUCAAUUGCCGGCGACCGGCGCACGGGUGAGUAACGCGUAUCCCAACCUUCCGCUUACUCGGGGAUAGCCUUUCGAAAGAAAGAUUAAUACCCGAUGGUAUCUUAAGCACGCAUGAGAUUAAGAUUAAAGAUUUAUCGGUAAGCGAUGGGGAUGCGUUCCAUUAGGCAGUUGGCGGGGUAACGGCCCACCAAACCUACGAUGGAUAGGGGUUCUGAGAGGAAGGUCCCCCACAUUGGAACUGAGACACGGUCCAAACUCCUACGGGAGGCAGCAGUGAGGAAUAUUGGUCAAUGGGCGAGAGCCUGAACCAGCCAAGUAGCGUGAAGGAUGACGGCCCUACGGGUUGUAAACUUCUUUUGUGCGGGAAUAAAGGAACCUACGUGUAGGUUUUUGCAUGUACCGUAACGAAUAAGCAUCGGCUAACUCCGUGCCAGCAGCCGCGGUAAUACGGAGGAUGCGAGCGUUAUCCGGAUUUAUUGGGUUUAAAGGGAGCGUAGACGGGUUUUUAAGUCAGCUGUGAAAGUUUGGGGCUCAACCCUUAAAAUUGCAGUUGAAACUGGAGACCUUGAGUACGGUUGAGGCAGGCGGAAUUCGUGGUGUAGCGGUGAAAUGCUUAGAUAUCACGAAGAACCCCGAUUGCGAAGGCAGCCUGCUAAGCCGCCACUGACGUUGAGGCUCGAAAGUGCGGGUAUCAAACAGGAUUAGAUACCCUGGUAGUCCGCACGGUAAACGAUGGAUACCUCGCUGUUGGCGAUAGACAGU
rnacentral:rRNA from 1 species